rnacentral:rRNA from 1 species
AGAACGAACGCUGGCGGCAUGCCUAAUACAUGCAAGUCGAACGAACACUUCGGUGUUAGUGGCGCACGGGUGCGUAACGCGUGGGAAUCUGCCCUUGGGUUCGGAAUAACAGUUGGAAACGACUGCUAAUACCGGAUGAUAUCGAAAGAUCAAAGAUUUAUCGCCCAGGGAUGAGCCCGCGUAGGAUUAGCUAGUUGGUGAGGUAAAGGCUCACCAAGGCGACGAUCCUUAGCUGGUCUGAGAGGAUGAUCAGCCACACUGGGACUGAGACACGGCCCAGACUCCUACGGGAGGCAGCAGUAGGGAAUAUUGGACAAUGGGCGCAAGCCUGAUCCAGCAAUGCCGCGUGAGUGAUGAAGGCCUUAGGGUGUAAAGCUCUUUUACCCGAGAUGAUAAUGACAGUAUCGGAGAAUAAGCCCCGGCUAACUACCGUGACCAGCCAGCCGAC